AAUAAGUACAGUUUUAGCACUGUUCAUGGUCAACGUUUGACCGUUUGUUCUAUUUGAAAAAAUAUUAUGAUUAGUAUUUUUAUUGUUAUUAGAUGAUAAAACAUAAAUAGUACUUUAUGUGUGACUAAUUUUUUUUAAUAUUUUUUAUAAAUUUUACAAAUAAGACGGAUGGUCAAAAUGCUAAACACGGAUAUCUAUGGCUGCACUUGUU
rfam:Oryza nivara chromosome 6, whole genome shotgun sequence.